GAUGAACGCUGGCGGCGUGCCUAAUACAUGCAAGUCGAGCGAACAGACGAGGAGCUUGCUCCUCUGACGUUAGCGGCGGACGGGUGAGUAACACGUGGAUAACCUACCUAUAAGACUGGGAUAACUUCGGGAAACCGGAGCUAAUACCGGAUAAUAUAUUGAACCGCAUGGUUCAAUAGUGAAAGACGGUUUUGCUGUCACUUAUAGAUGGAUCCGCGCCGCAUUAGCUAGUUGGUAAGGUAACGGCUUACCAAGGCGACGAUGCGUAGCCGCCCUGAGAGGGUGAUCGGCCACACUGGAACUGAGACACGGUCCAGACUCCUACGGGAGGCAGCAGUAGGGAAUCUUCCGCAAUGGGCGAAAGCCUGACGGAGCAACGCCGCGUGAGUGAUGAAGGUCUUCGGAUCGUAAAACUCUGUUAUUAGGGAAGAACAAAUGUGUAAGUAACUAUGCACGUCUUGACGGUACCUAAUCAGAAAGCCACGGCUAACUACGUG
rnacentral:rRNA from 1 species